rnacentral:rRNA from 1 species
UGGGGAAUUUUCCGCAAUGGGCGAAAGCCUUACGGAGCAAUGCCGCGUGGAGGUGGAAGGCCUACGGGUCGUCAACUUCUUUUCUCGGAGAAGAAACAAUGACGGUAUCUGAGGAAUAAGCAUCGGCUAACUCUGUGCCAC